rnacentral:sRNA from 1 species
UUUUCCCCCCAAAAAGCAUUUAAAUUAACAUGUCGACUUUAUUUAUCUUCUAUACAGAUCUCAGAAAAAAUGAAGAUAAAUUGAACCAUCAUCAGCGAAUUGGGCUGAAAUAUUUUGGGGACUUUGAAAAAAGAAUUCCUCGUGAAGAGAUGUUACAAAUGCAAGAUAUUGUACUAAAUGAAGUUAAAAAAGUGGAUUCUGAAUACAUUGCUACGGUCUGUGGCAGUUUCAGAAGAGGUGCAGAGUCCAGUGGUGACAUGGAUGUUCUCCUGACCCAUCCCAGCUUCACUUCAGAAUCAACCAAACAGGUGCCUCAGAGUUUAUAAUCAAUGGUGAUCAGUCUUACACAACAGUGAAUUUCACUUUUUAAGUGAUAGUUGGGUAUUUUCAGAAUAAGUUUUGUUUUCGCCUUCCUGAAAAGUCUGAAGAGCUUUGUACUGAUUGAAUUCUGCGAAAGGCAAAUUUCUCGAAAGGGAUACCUAUUAUUCUUCCAUGAGUUGCUGGGAGGACAGUCUAACAUUUGAAAGAGAUAACAUUGAAUACAAUAGUUUUAGAACGAUUUACUGUCUGUGAUAAAUACUUUAGAAAUACUAUAAUCAGAUUUUCAUUAAAUUUUAUCUUAAAAAAUGAAAUAUUGAGAAACCUUACUUCUAUUAGAA